CCAGAGAACGAGACCAGCUGGAAGUUAAAUCUGCAGUAGCUGCCGUAUCACCCUGCAGCUCACAGCUGGCGUGAGCCUGGUCAGUACCUGGAUGGGAGACCUCCUGGGAAAAACUGGUCGAGUUCUUGA
rnacentral:rRNA from 1 species